CGGGGCGCGGCAGUUGGGGCGAGUUAGUUCUAGCAGCGGGGGUCCUCGAACCCAGCGGAGAGUUUGUGGGCUGGGUCUCCUAACGUUCUCGCUGGCCAGCCACAGCCUGCCCGGAGUUGGACUACAUUUCCCAGAGCCACCGCGUCCCGAACGCGGCUUCAUUUCCGUUUGUUCGCGCGACUUGGGGACCUCGCGUGGGGAGAGGGCUGCGUCUGUGGGAGAGUUUGGCCUGGCUCCUGCAGGGCGGGCGAACCCGAAGCCGGGCUGGGUUCCCGGGCACCAGGUCCUGGACCCUGAACUGCACCCUCUGUCGAGCGCCCAGAGGAAGAAAGAAUGGCUGUUAUACAAUCAGAAGCAAGCUCCAAGUACUGCCUUUUCCAGACUCUGUGCUUCUCUAAGAUAGGAACCCAGAAGAUGAUUGAUCAUUUCUUGCAGCUGUAAAAACCAUGGCUCAGAGAUCAGUGAUGUUCAGGGAUGUUGCCAUUGACUUCUCUCAGGAAGAGUGGGAAUGCCUGGACUCUGCUCAAAGGGAUUUGUAUAGAGAUGUGAUGUUGGAGAACUAUAGUAACUUGGUGUCACUAGACUUGCCUUCAAGGGGUGCAAACAAGGACUUAACUCCAAAAGAGGAUACUUAUGAAACAGAAUUAUCCCAAUGGGAAAUGAGUGCCAGGCUUGAAAACUGUGAUCUUGAGGAGUCCAAUUCCAGAGAUUAUUUAGAAGUCAAAGGCACAUUGGAAAAGCAACAAGAAAAUCAGGAGGAAUAUUUCAGUCAAGGGAUGAUCAUAUAUGAAAAAAUGUCUAUUUUCAAUCAGCAUACUUACUUAUCUCAACUUCCCAGGUGUCAUUCUACUGAGAAACCCUAUAAAUGUAAGGAAUGUGGGAAGGCUUUUAGACGAGCUUCACACCUAACUCAACAUCAGAGUAUUCAUACUGGUGAAAAACCCUAUGAAUGUAAGCAAUGUGGGAAGGCCUUUAGUCGUGAUUCACAACUCAGUCUUCAUCAGAGACUUCAUACUGGUGAGAAACCCUAUGCAUGCAAGGAAUGUGGGAAAGCCUUUACUCAGAGCUCACAACUUAUUUUACACCAUAGGAUUCAUACUGGUGAAAAACCAUAUAAAUGUGAAGAAUGUGGGAAAGCCUUUAUUCGAAGCUCACAACUCACCCGACAUCAAAAAGUCCAUACUGGGGAGAAACCUUAUGAAUGUAAAGAAUGUGGGAAGGCCUUUACUCAGAACUCACAACUUACUCUCCACCAGAGACUUCAUACUGGUGAGAAACUCUAUGAAUGUAAAGAGUGUAGAAAGGUCUUUACGCAGCUCUCACAACUUAUUCUUCAUAAGAGAAUUCAUACUGGUGAAAAACCCUAUGAAUGUAAGGAAUGUGGCAAAGCUUUUAUUUGUGGCUCACAGCUUUCUCAACAUCAGAAAAUUCAUAAUGGGGAAAAGCCAUACGAAUGUCAGGAAUGUGGAAAGGCUUUUAUUCGCGGCUCAUUACUUAUGCAACAUCAGAGGAUUCAUACUGGUGAAAAACCCUAUAAAUGUGAAGAAUGCGGGAAGGCCUUUAUCCGUGGCUCACAACUUACUCAACACCAGAGAAUUCAUACCAAUGAGAAGCCUUAUGAAUGUAAGGAAUGUGGAAAGACCUUUAGUCAUGGCUCGCAACUUACUCAACAUCAGAGGAUUCAUACUGGCGAGAAACCCUAUCAGUGUAAGGAAUGUGGAAAGGCCUUUAAUCGUGGCUCCCUCCUUACACGACAUCAAAGGAUUCAUACUGGUGAAAAACCCUAUGAGUGUAAAGAAUGUGGAAAGACCUUUAGUCGUGGUUCAGAACUUACUCAACAUGAGAGAAUUCACACUGGUGAGAAACCCUAUGAGUGUAAGGAAUGUGGGAAGUCUUUUAUUCGUGGCUCACAGCUUACUCAACAUCAGAGAAUUCAUACUGGUGAGAAACCCUAUGAAUGUAAAGAAUGUAGAAUGGCCUUUACGCAGAGCUCACAUCUUUCUCAACAUCAGAGACUUCAUACUGGUGAGAAACCCUACAUAUGUAAUGAAUGUGGGAAGGCCUUUGCUCGUGGCUUACUACUUAUACAGCAUCAGAGAAUUCAUACAGUUCUAGAUCAAGAUGGAGUAUAAAGAAAUAUCAAACUGUGGUAGAAGAGUAACUGCAAGAUGUAAAAGAACUCUGAAGAGUACCCAAAGGCUGAGCAAGAAUAUCAAAGAAAAGAUAAAUUCUGAAGGAUGUUAACUAUACCAUCUCACUGUCUUUCAUGGUUUCUGAUAAGAAAUGGCUGUUAAUCUUAUUGAAGCUCCCUGAAACAUGAUUCCCAAUGGAGAAGACAACUUUCCCUGAAGCCCUGUCAUGUGGUGACUGUCUUAUUUCUCACAUCCCUUGUACACAGCACAUGGAGGUGAGGUAGGUGACCUCUUUGCUCCUUACACUUGUUUCCAUACCAUUGCCCCACCCUCUUUCCUAAUAUAUACCUAGUUUUCAACCUCAUGAAAUCAGGCUAUGUCACUAUCACUUCUUGUUUCCAUUAUCUACCAGUUCCUCGUAGAUGCAAAUUCUCUGUCAUUACUUGAACACUUCAGCAUCUAACUCACUGUUACUCUCUCCAAUGGUACUCCCAUUAAACAUAUGGGAGUACCCAUAUGUUUCAAUAUCCAUAUAAAUAACCCUCCCAACAGCCUGGCCUCUCAGUUCUCUGACCCCAUCUUCUCCAAUAAGCCUGUCUUCCACACUUCUACAGUCGCUCACUUCACGAUCAUGCCCUAGACCUUGUCGUUACCAAUAAGUACAAAACCCUCCAUAAUCUCAACUCUCCCACUCUCACUUCCACCUCCUAUAUUCCAGUUUUUUCCCUCUGGUACCCCAAUUAGGAUAAUUCUUCCACCACACUAGAACCUACAAAUCAUUGAUCUCACCACGUUUUCACUGUUCUUCACUCCCACAUACCCUCACUUCCUAGAACAACCAUUUGUUAUAAUCACCCCCACGCAUAUACCCUCAACUGCCCGGCUCCCUCUCACUUAACUAUACUCACCUGGUUAAACCACAGCCAUCACUCAGCAUACUCUGUUUCUGGAAGCUGCACAGCUGAACUUUGCUAGAGAAAUCAUGCUAAUUGGCCUCACUUUAAAUUCAUGAUCACUAACUUCCAGGGGGCCAAAAUGAUACAUUUCUACCUACAUACAUGAUACAUUUCUCUAGUCCAUUCAUUUCCCCCACCCUCCUAAAUGACCAUUUGAUACUUUCUUCUCUCUCCUCAAUCUUCAAUACCUCCCCCCCAUCCUUUCUCUCAGCUAAGGAUCUUGCUUUGUCUCACUGAAAAAACAAAAGCCAUUUUAAGAGAAUUUCCACAAAUUCCCACAACAUCUACUUGCAUCUGGCCCAUAAACUCUAACUUGAUCCUAUUACUAUAAAUGAACAGCCCACUUUCCUAGCAAAGGCCAAACCCCUUCACUUGUAUCCUAGACCUCAGCUGCUCUCAGCUUCGCAAGCAGUGUUCCAGCAAUUCCCUCCUCUCUCCUCUUCAUCUUCAAUUUCCCUUUCUAUUGAAUCUUUAACAUCAGCCCACAGACAUAUACCCAUCUUUAAAAAACCUUGUUGACUACAGUUUCUCCUUCAGUUACCACUCAUUUCUCUUCUUCCCUUACAGCUAAACUGUUUUAAAGAGUUGUCUAUACUUUCCAUUGUUUCUCUCCCUGAAAUGAAGAGGAAUGACAUAAUAUGACAUACGUAACAGGAUCACUUUGGCUGCUCUGUUGGGGAUAGAGUAAAGACAGGGUGGAAGUAGAGGGACAAGUUAGAAGAGCAUAGCAAUAAUCCAGGUGAGAGAUAUUGGUUUAUACCAGAAUGGAAACUGGUGGUAGUAAUAAGUGGUCAGAUUUUGGAUAUAUUUUGAAGGCAGGACAAACAAAAUUUCCUAAUGGAAGACUUUUAGCUUGAACAUCUUAGAUGGGGAAGUAUGUAAGAGUUUUCUAAUUGAUUUUCCUGUUUCUAUCCUUGUCCCAUUCAGUUUAUUUUCAAUAGCAGCCAGAGUGAUCCUAUUAAAUGGGAAUCAGAUCAUGCCACUCCUAUGCUCCCAAACUUCCAAUGGCUCAUUUCACUCAGUUUGAGACAUCUAAAUUUGAGGUAUCCAUUCCACAACGAAAUGAAGAUGCUGAGUAGGCAGUUGGAUAUAUGAGUCUGGAUUUCUGGGCUGUAUACAAUUUGGUAGUUGUUGGCAUAUAGAUGGUAUUUAAAGCCGUGAAACAGUGAGAUCAACAAAGGAGUGUAGACAGAGCAGAAAAGAAGACUAGGAUUAAGCCCUCUUAGUUAAUAGGUGCUUAGCAAAAAUUUGUUGAAUGAAUGAACAUUUGGACAGAGACCAGAAUGAAGAAGUUGGUCUGUAUCUGGCGGAACAGCAUUCUAGGCAGAGGGAACAGUAAGUGCAAGGCCAUGAGUUAAGAAUGUACUCAGAUCACUACAAGGAAGCUAGUGUGGCUGGAACCAAGUGAGUGAAAUACAGAGUGGGAAAAAUUAGAUGAGGUCAGAGGGUUAGCCAGGGACGAGUUUAUGUAGGGCCUUGCAAGCCAAGGCAAGGGCUUCAACAUUUAUCCAGAAUCAGGUGGGAAUCCAUUGGAGGGUUUUAAGAAGUGACAUGAUUGGUCACCCAGAAAAGUUUCAGCAGAAGGAAAAUUAAUGUCUGCUUGUUUUGAAAAGCAGGAAAAUAUUUCAGGAAAGAGAAAACACCAGCUCACCUGGUACAUGGCUUUAAGAAGUCCAACAGCCAUUCUUUCCUCCCCUUGACUCUUCUCUUGGGAAAUGGCAGUGUCCUUAGAUGAGUGAGAUGGGUAAGAGAACAUGAGAAACUAGGCUUUCCUUGCAGCAUCCAGAAUCACUAGCUUAGAAUUUUUCUGCUUCUCUUUCCUCUGUUGCACCCUUCCCUCCAAUAGAGAGAAGGCAGAAUGGAGACCUAGGAAUCUUCUUGCAUGCAAUUUAACCUGUGCCUAAAUCACUUCCUAAUUUAUUAUUUUAACAAGAGAUUUUCUAGAUUUUACAAAUAAAAACUCCAAGUAAUGUAAUCAUUUGCAUAAAGACACACAGCUAAUAAAUAACAGCACCGAGAUCAGAUAAAGGUCUUCCUGAUUCCACUUUCCUUCUCCUCUCCAGUAGGUCAGUGGUUCUGAAACUUGGUGGCACACUGGCAUCACCUGGUUAGCUUUAAUAGAUACUGGUGGCACAGAGUCUCACUCAGCGCCCCCCCCCCGCAAAAAAAAACACAAAACACAACAUACACACAGUCACAGAUUCUUAAAAACUACAGCGCCAACCACCAUCUUACACAGAUCACAGCGGCCACGGGUACGGGCAGUUUCACACCGUCACCCUCUCCCAUAGCCCCCAGCCUCAAAUACUAGGGUAUCACAACCGGUGAUCUCACACUCCAGUCACAAAGAAGCCGAGGAUACAGGAACAACGGGAGACAGAGAGUAUCCUCCUGCCCCCACUCACAGUCUCGCCCUCUGUGGCACCAACCAUCGACUCACUCGCACCCAGUCACACAGAUACGAUGUGUACAGGCACAUCGGGUGGCAGGCUCACGCACCGUAAGGUCUCAACCCCGUCUCACACGAAGAGUCACACAGAAGGCCCGGGGACCGACGUCAGGGUGACCCACAGGCCGCUCCUCAACCCACUUCCUACCUGCAGAACUGAAGUGCCGGAAGACCAGGUUCAAGCCCGGAAAACUCGGGUAACCUCCUCUCGGGCCCACCUCCUGCCCUGACUCUGAGGGAACCCAGCCUCCGCGGGCCCGGAAAGAAGCGACCGGCCCUCCGGAGGACACAAAGGCGCAGCGGGCCCAGUGCUCGCGGGGGCCACUGGGAAAUGUAGUCCUGACCAGAAAAAGGCUCGGCCCCCGGGGGUUCAACUGCCACAGCUCAGCUCCUCCGGGGGUUCGUAACACCGACCCC